GCCGCGGUACUUUGACCGUGCAAAGGUAGCAUAGUCACUAGUCUUUUAAUUGGAGGCUUGAAUGAACGGUCGGACGAGGGGGCGGCUGUCUCGGGGACUGUAGCUGAACUUGACUUUUGUGUGAGAAGGCAUUAAUAGGUUAGGGGGACGAUAAGACCCUAUAAAACUUUAUAGGACUUAGAGUGGUAGAUGGUUUGUGGUUAGAUUUUGCCAUUAGAGGUUGUAUUGUGUUGGGGCGACAGAAAUAUAACUUUAACUGUUUUUUGAAUAUAAUAUACAUAAUUAGAGUGUGAUCUUUUAGUGGGGUUUAGAAGAAUAAGUUACUUUAGGGAUAACAGCGUAAUUGUCUUUGAGAGUUCGGAUCGACAAGAAUUAGUUGCGACCUCGAUGUUGAAUUAAAAUUUUCUUCGGGUGAAGCAGUUCGGGGGAUAGGUCUGUUCGACCUUUAAAAUU
rnacentral:rRNA from 1 species